rnacentral:rRNA from 1 species
AACGAACGCUGGCGGCAGGCCUAACACAUGCAAGUCGAGCGAGGACUUCGGUUCUAGCGGCGGACGGGGGAGUAACGCGUGGGAAUGUGCCCUUCUCUACGGAAUAGCCCUGGGAAACUGGGAGUAAUACCGUAUACGCCCUAUUGGGGAAAGACUUAUCGGAGAAGGAUCAGCCCGCGUUGGAUUAGGUAGUUGGUGGGGUAAUGGCCUACCAAGCCGACGAUCCAUAGCUGGUUUGAGAGGAUGAUCAGCCACACUGGGACUGAGACACGGCCCAGACUCCUACGGGAGGCAGCAGUGGGGAAUCUUAGACCAUGGGGGCAACCCUGAUCUAGCCAUGCCGCGUGAGUGAUGCAGGCCUUAGGGUUGUAAAGCUCUUUCAGCUGGGAAGAUAAUGACGGUACCUGCAGAAGAAGCCCCGGCUAACUACGUG